UCGAUAGUACUGAUGAAAAUCAAGAUUUUAACUAUGACACGCCUUGUUUAGCAACACAUGUAUGUCAAACAUCUGAAGAAAAUGAUUCAAAUGAUGUGUGUGCUAUUUGUCGUGAUCAUGAGGAGGGGAUAUGGAAAAACUAGUAAGUUCAAUUCCUUGGAGUUAAGUACUGACUACCUUCUCAUUUUCAUACCAUCCUUACAUAUUAUUUGUUUGCUUUGACUUAUAAGUACUAGAAUUUUGACUUUCUUUUUCUCUUUUUUUCAGGAGCUCUAAAUUUUUAUUAUUAUAAAAAUAUUUUUCGCUUUUAUUCAUUUUUUCGUCGAUAUUUU
rnacentral:lncRNA from 1 species